GUGGAAACCCAGAAACAGUCAAGCAUGCUCUCCUGGAGUGUGGCAAGUAUAAAGCAGAGAGGGAAACUUUCUAUAAGAGAUUGUCAGACCUAGGAGUAGUUGCAUUCUCCAUUAAAUCUUUUUUUGGCCAAAGCAAGAACCACCAGCUGAUCACCAAUACAGUUUUACAGUUCCUGCAUGAUUCAGGGCUGUAUAUGAGAGUAUGAGCUGCAAUUGUUAAAUUUCUAUCCUGCGAAGUUGCGCCUAGUUGCGUCUACACUGCCAAAAAACUGACAAGAAGAAGAAGAAGACGUGUUCUUGGAAGAAGGUUGUUGUGAUUUCAAAUUCUCCGUGGGAAAACCUGGGUUUGACGGCGUUCAAGAGCAGAGUUCUCUACAUUUGGCCCAACAGCUCAAAUGGAAACUAGAGCACAAGAUCAGAAUGAAGCUCCCACACAUGGCCUUAUGACUGUUGCCCCAGUGAAGAGCCCGAGGUCCAGCCUUCCCCACUCAAGACAUGCCUGAGACAAGAGUGACUGUAUUCCAAGUUGAUCCAAGGUGAUCCUAACUUAAAUGUAGU